rnacentral:lncRNA from 1 species
UUUUAAAUUUUAAAGUUUCAAAUUUCAAAUUUGAAAUUUGAAAUUUCAAAUUUCAAAUUUCAAAUUUAAAACAUAAAAUCUAAUUUACUUUUUUAAUUUUAAAUUUUAAAUUUUAAUUUUAUAUUUUGAAUUUUUAAUUUUAAUUUUUAGAAUUUUAUUUUUAAAUUUUGAAUUUUGAAUUUUGAAUUUUGAGUUUUGAAUUUUGAAUUUUAAAAUUUUAGAAAUUUAAUUGUUAUAAAUACUGUGGAAUUGUAUGAUAUGUAUCCAAACAACUUAAAAAUGAAGCUGUGAAAUUUUUUUGUAGUUACAGGAUUUCGUAUUUCAUUUAGACCAAAACCAUAGAAUAAAAAUUCUAUGGAGUUUUUUAACUAUGCAUCCAAACAGGGCCUAAAUGUUGUCUAGUGUUUGCUUAGGCAUUGUUUGAAUAUAUAAAUAAUUUACUACUCAAUUUAAUUUAUUCUAACUUAGACUCUGGUUGAAUAUUGGAAUAAUAUUAUUUAAUGAUAAUAUUUCAAGAGCUAGGCUCCUAUGCUUUCGUCAAUACGGAGGUCUCCGUGCUUGUAAGUUAUUUUCGAUGAUGGAGCAUUCGAUUUGGCGAUCGACUCCGCUAGACAUGAUCUACGCUAUAGGAACUAUUUAGAAACCAAAUUUCAUAAUUUUUUUGACUUUAUUUGCCUAGUGAAUGAGUAGGUUCAAAAUAAACGGCUGAAAAUAAAAAUCUCACAAAAAAUAGUGAUAAAGAACUCAAAUUUCAAAUCAAAAGUAUUGUUCUUUCUCUUGAUGUUAAGUAGAAUUUUCUAUUAAAGUUUCAUAUAAUUUGGAUUCUUCUACACCGUUGAACUUUAAAACGCACCACAUCGGCUGUUAAAAUAGGCAUUUUUUAGACUCUCUGAUCACUUGGUAAAUGAUGUCAAAAAAUUAUAAAAUUUGGUUUCUAAAUAGUUCUAAUAGCGUAAAUCAUACCUAACGGAGCCAAUCGCCGAAUCGGAUGCUCCAUCAUAAAAAACAACUUAAAAGCACGAAAGCGUCUGUAUUUUCGAAAGUAUAGAAGACAUACUCAUAUUUCAAUAUGAAACUACGAAAGUUUCUU